UUUCACUAUGUUGGCCAGGCUGGUCUUGAACUCCUGAUCUCAUGAUCUGCCUGCCUCAACCUCCCAAAGUGCUGGGAUUACAGGCGUGAGCCACCACGCCCAGCCUUUGUUACUUUCAAGAAGAGCAACACAUCAUAGAAAGAGGUUUACUGGGCCAGGCAUGGUGGCUCACACCUGUAUUCCCAGCACUUGGGGAAGCCAAGGCGGGCAGAUCACCUGAGGUCAGGAGUUCGACACCAGCCCAGACAACAUGUGAAACCAUGUCUCUACUAAAAAUACAAAAAAAAAUUAGCUGGGUAUGGUGGCAGGCACCUAUAAUCCCAGCCACUCGGGAGGCUGAGGAGGCUGAGGCAGGAGAAUCGCUUGAACCUGGGAGGCAGAAGUUGCAGUGAGCCAAGAUCACACCAUUGCACUCCAGCCUGGAUGACAGAGCAAGACUCCAUCUCAAUAAAUAGAUUCGCUCUGUUGUCUAUCAGCUUGCAUACUUUGAUGAAACAAGCUUCCAUGUUGAAGAGGACCAAGUGGAAGUGAAUUGAGGGCAAGCACUGGACAACAGCCAGAGAGAAAGUCCAAAGCCCAUUCCCCUAUAAGUAACUGAAUGCAGCCAACAACCAGUGAGUGGACCUGAAAGCUUUCCAACAGCCUUGUAAUGACUACAGUUGCAGCCAACAACAUGAUUUCAGCCUGCGAGAGACCUCAGCAUACCUGGAUUCCCGGACUACAGAAACUGAGCUAAUAAAUGUGUGCCAUUUUGAGCCACUAAGUUUUGGCACAUUUUUUUGGGCACAUUAGAUAGCAAUAGUAGAUAAUUAAUAGAAGCUUGUUACUAUUUGUCCCUCUACUUUCUACUCCAAUAUUUUG
rnacentral:lncRNA from 1 species